UACCCGAUAGGUCGCGAUGGCUGGAAUGCUUCUCGAUUGAAAGCUCCGGCGCCUAAGGAUGGGUCUGCGGCCUAUUAGGUAGUUGUGGGUGUAACGUACCUACUAGCCUGCGACCGGUACGGGUUGUGAGAGCAAGAGCCCGGAGAUGGAUUCUGAGACACGAAUCCAGGCCCUACGGGGUGCAGCAGGCGCGAAAACUUUACAAUGCGGGCAACCGCGAUAAGGGAACCCCGAGUGCCACGUUACACAGGUGGCUGUUUAGAUGCCUAAAAAGCAUUUCAGAACAAGGGCCGGGCAAGACCGGUGCCAGCAGCCGCGGU
rnacentral:rRNA from 1 species